UGCACUAUUGCCUGUUAAGUUAGAAUACAUUUUAAAAUGUUAAUAAUUACAUACAAGGCCACCCAUGGUCUGGCUCCAGAUUACAUGAAAGAGCUUCUAACCCCUCAUAGCCCAGCCAGGCCCCUACGA